rnacentral:sRNA from 1 species
AUUAGACAUCAAUUAAUUCAACAUAUUUGAUAUUCAGUAUUUUGGGGCAAUAUUCGGACGGACAUUCCACCGUUCCGACACACCUCUACAUUGGUGUCUGGGACCAGUAGUGUUAUAAACCUGCGGCACGGCCCGGGGCUUAUUGGAUAAGAACCGAAGAGUGCAGGGAACGGACUUAUUGGAUAAGGACCAAAGAGUGCAGGAACGGAACAAUCCUUUACCGGAAAGUGGAGCUACGAGUCACGUGACUGCUCAUUAUGCUCACGGUGCUCAUCCUGCUCAUUCAUGAGCAAGCGAGCAGAGCGAGCAGAGCGAGCAGGAUAAUUUGUAUGGGAACUCAAAUGUAUUUAAACACACUCAUUACCCUUAGGAUCAAGGAGCUUAUCUUCUUGAUCACGAUCAAUCUAUUUUCUUUCAAUCCA